rnacentral:tRNA from 1 species
GGCGGAGUAGCUCAGUGGUUAGAGCACCGGCUUCAUAAGCCGUAGGUCGAGGGUUCAAAUCCCCCCUCCGCUA